rnacentral:rRNA from 1 species
UACGAAGGUCCCGAGCGUUGUUCGGAAUCACUGGGCGUAAAGGGAGCGUAGGCGGCAUGGUAAGUCAGAUGUGAAAUCCCGGGGCUCAACCCCGGAACUGCAUCCGAUACUGCCUUGCUUGAGGGUUGGAGAGGUAGCUGGAAUUAUCGGUGUAGCAGUGAAAUGCGUGGAUAUCGAUAGGAACACUCGUGGCGAAGGCGAGCUACUGGACAACAUCUGACG